ACGAACGCUGGCGGCGCGCCUAAUACAUGCAAGUCGAGCGAGAAGACGUAGCAAUACGUUUGUAAAGCGGCGAACGGGUGAGGAAUACAUGGGUAACCUACCCUCGAGUGGGGAAUAACUAGCCGAAAGGUUAGCUAAUACCGCGUACGCUCCUUGGACUUCGGUUCAGGGAGGAAAGCGAUACCGUGGGUAUCGCGCUCUUGGAUGGGCUCAUGUCCUAUCAGCUUGUUGGUGAGGUAACGGCUCACCAAGGCUUCGACGGGUAGCUGGUCUGAGAGGACAAUCAGCCACACUGGCACUGCGACACGGGCCAGACUCCUACGGGAGGCAGCAGUAGAAGU
rnacentral:rRNA from 1 species